CCUACGGGUGGCAGCAGUGAGGAAUAUUGGUCAAUGGCCGUAAGGCUGAACCAGCCAAGUCGCGUGAAGGAAGAAGGAUCUAUGGUUUGUAAACACCUUUUAUAGGGGAAUAAAGGUAUCCACGUGUGGAUAUUUGCAUGUACCCUAUGAAUAAGCAUCGGCUAACUCCAUGCCAGCAGCCGAGGUAAUACGGAGGAUGCGAGCGUUAUCCGGAUUUAUUGGGUUUAAAGGGUGCGUAGGUUGUUUUUUAAGUCAGAGGUGAAAGUUUGUGGCUCAACCAUAAAAUUGCCGUUGAUACUGGAAGGCUUGAGUGUGGUUGAGGGAGGUGGAAUGCGUGGUGUAGCGGUGAAAUGCAUAGAGAUCACGCAGAACUCCGAUGGCGAAGGCAGCUUACUAAGCCAUAACUGACACUGAGGCACGAAAGCGUGGGGAUCAAACAGGAUUAGAUACCCUUGUAGUC
rnacentral:rRNA from 1 species